rnacentral:rRNA from 1 species
GACGAACGCUGGCGGCGUGCUUAACACAUGCAAGUCGAACGAUGAUCAGGAGCUUGCUCCUGUGAUUAGUGGCGAACGGGUGAGUAACACGUGAGUAACCUGCCCCUGACUCUGGGAUAAGCGUUGGAAACGACGUCUAAUACUGGAUACGACUGCCGGCCGCAUGGUCUGGUGGGGGAAAGAUUUUUUGGUUGGGGAUGGACUCGCGGCCUAUCAGCUUGUUGGUGAGGUAAUGGCUCACCAAGGCGACGACGGGUGGCCGGCCUGAGAGGGUGACCGGCCACACAGGGACUGAGACACGGCCCAGACUCCUACGGGAGGCAGCAGUGGGGAAUAUUGCACAAUGGGCGAAAGCCUGAUGCAGCAACGCCGCGUGAGGGAUGACGGCCUUCGGGUUGUAAACCUCUUUUAGUAGGGAAGAAGCGAAAGUGACGGUACCUGCAGAAAAAGCACCGGCUAACUACGUGCCAGCCGCCGCGGUAA